rnacentral:piRNA from 1 species
AGCUGUUAGAGACUCUUCGCAAGUGACCCC